UACGGAGGGUGCGAGCGUUGUCCGGAAUCAUUGGGCGUAAAGGGCGCGUAGGUGGCUUCUUAAGCGUGCGGUGAAAGCCUGGGGCUCAACCCCGGGCCGACCGUGCGAACUGGGGGGCUGGAGCACUGUAGAGGCAGGCGGAAUUCCGGGUGUAGCGGUGGAAUGCGUAGAGAUCCGGAAGAACACCGGUGGCGAAGGCGGCCUGCUGGGCAGUUGCUGACACUGAGGCGCGACAGCGUGGGGAGCAAACAGG
rnacentral:rRNA from 1 species